rnacentral:rRNA from 1 species
AGAGAUUCUUGUUUAUCUUAGUGGCGGACGGGUGAGUAACGCGUGAGCAACCUGCCUUUCAGAGGGGGAUAACGUCUUGAAAAGGACGCUAAUACCGCAUGAUAUUAUGGAGUCACAUGGCUCUAUAAUCAAAGGAGCAAUCCGCUGAAAGAUGGGCUCGCGUCCGAUUAGGUAGUUGGCGGGAUAACAGCCCACCAAGCCGACGAUCGGUAGCCGGACUGAGAGGUUGAACGGCCACAUUGGGACUGAGACACGGCCCAGACUCCUACGGGAGGCAGCAGUGAGGGAUAUUGGUCAAUGGGGGAAACCCUGAACCAGCAACGCCGCGUGAGGGAUGACGGCCUUCGGGUUGUAAACCUCUGUCCUCUGUGAAGAUAAUGACGGUAGCAGAGGAGGAAGCUCCGGCUAACUACGUGCCAGCAGCCGCGGUAAUACGUAGGGAGCAAGCGUUGUCCGGAUUUACUGGGUGUAAAGGGUGCGUAGGCGGUUUGGUAAGUCAGAAGUGAAAUCCAUGGGCUUAACCCAUGAACUGCUUUUGAAACUAUCGAACUUGAGUGAAGUAGAGGUAGGCGGAAUUCCCGGUGUAGCGGUGAAAUGCGUAGAGAUCGGGAGGAACACCAGUGGCGAAGGCG